rnacentral:ncRNA from 1 species
CAUCUCUGAAAGACCAAAGGUUCCGACGGGUCCAAGACCCAAGGAUGAAAAGGGAACACGGUGAGGUGUAGCCAUCAGGCGCCAAAUCCGUGACUGCCCCCGCAACUGUGAGCGGAGAGCCACCGGGCAUAGCCACUGGUCCCUAUCAGGACUGGGAAGGCCUCGGACCGGCAUCGACCCGCGAGUCAGGAGACCUGCCGUUGGAAGACGUGGCCA